CACCUAACGACAACAGAGAAGAUAAAUCGAGCAGUUUAGGAAGGUGUCCUAUCGGUGAAGGUAGAAGCACGCCUCGUCGCUCGUCUUGCAAGCGGUACCCGAGCCUCAACGUGACAACCUGUAAACAGUAGAGGCGGAGCGGGUGACGCACGUAGCCUCGGAAGGGUGAAGGAGCAUGCCGCUGAGCCAUCUGAGAAGGUGCCAAGUGAGCCACCUUUGGGAUCAUCUGAGCAUGUGAAAGCAGCCAGGGUAGUAGCAAGGACGAGCACGGGGUCGGUGACUUCUCACAAGCUCAACGGUAACUUUGUCUCUCGGUAAGUUAGGUACCGGAAGAGGCAACGGCUGUAGUAUCUGAGUCCAAAAUGAGCAGGUGAUAAAGGAAUCUGGCCACCGCAGGAACAUGUUAGUCAGCUGCUGUGCUGCUUUUGUCGAAGAUGGAAUCGGACCUCCGGUCUUCUGAAAGCUAAGUCGAGGGAACGGGGCCGAGAGGAGGGGACGAGGUUGGGAACUGCAGGGAAGCGUUUGAAAGUUAGGAUAGGGGAGAAGGCUGUACAGGAGCAGGGCCCUACAGUCAGGUAAAAGGAACAGAUUACUUUUCCCCUCGAUGUUAGCGUGUCCCGGGCAGGGCAGUUCUAGCCUUUGCGUGUGUUAUCGUGUAGUAUGUUUCUUCUGUCUCCUGUGACUUUGUCCUUUAUCGGAUAUCUAUGUCCUCGCAUCUCUUUGGGCUCGAGGAGCACGGCACGUGCCUCAGGCGCCAUCCCUAGGGUAUCGAACGCCCAUCUUCAUAGGCACGCUGCCGAUCGGGUGCUUUUUAUUCUUGCGUUAUAAGUUUAAAGCGACGGUAGGUGUUGGCAUUUUCCAGUUGGGAGUCUUUUGCGCAGCAUCGUCGCAGGCUGAGGCAUCAGCUCUGCUAUUUAGGCAUCCGUUGUUCCUGCCGGUGACUUCUUUCCCGUAUCCUGACAUUCUUAGGUCUUGAAGCCCAUCUUCUUGCAUACCCAUCGUCUGUGGUUUGCUGGUAGAUUUUCGUAAACGGCCGUCCCACUUAAUGCUUCUUGUAGGCUGCCAUAGAGUCUCCUCACAUCACCAUCGUGGCCCUCCAAGUCUUCUCGCCUUACGGCAUACCCUUCUGGGUGUCCUUAUCGCUUAGCGUUUAGUCCUCUUUGAAUCGCGUCAUUUGUAGUAUUUUGUGUGUGUCUGUGUGGCUCGGAGCUGCUCUGCCUGGGGGUGUAGAGUCAGGGAUAGGUGGAAUAGAGUUCACGGGUAUACCGUAUGGGUUUGUUUUAAAUAAGAAAACAAAUCCUCCAACCGGGCACAUCUUUGUCUCCCCGGUGGGGUUUAUUUUCACCCAGUGACAGAUCUGCUCUCUGAGGGUGACGGUCACAGUCGCGUCUGGGUGAAGGUCAGGUUUGGGCCAGGAUUUCCUCAGGCUCGGCGCUCGAGUCCCGCUGGAACAGUCUUCAGGGGGUGACUGCCCGUCGUGACAGGUUGGGCAGGAAGGAUGGGCCGGUGGAGAGUGGGAGUUGGUUUUGGCGGUAGGUGGA